UAGCUAGAGAUGCAGCCAGCGGUGGU
rnacentral:piRNA from 1 species